rnacentral:rRNA from 1 species
UACGGAGGGUGCAAGCGUUAUCCGGAUUCACUGGGCUUAAAGGGUGCGUAGGCGGGCAGGUAAGUCAGUGGUGAAAUCCUUGAGCUUAACUCGAGAACUGCCAUUGAUACUAUCUGUCUUGAAUAUUGUGGAGGUAAGCGGAAUAUGUCAUGUAGCGGUGAAAUGCUUAGAUAUGACAUAGAACACCUAUUGCGAAGGCAGCUUACUACGCAUAUAUUGACGCUGAGGCACGAAAGCGUGGGGAUCAAACAGG